CCUACGGGUGGCAGCAGUGAGGAAUAUUGGUCAAUGGCCGCAGGGCUGAACCAGCCAAGUCGCGUGAGGGAUGACGGUCCUAUGGAUUGUAAACCUCUUUUGUCAGGGAGCAAAGGGCGCCACGUGUGGCGUUCUGCGAGUACCUGAAGAAAAAGCAUCGGCUAACUCCGUGCCAGCAGCCGCGGUAAUACGGAGGAUGAGAGCGUUAACCGGAAUUACUGGGCGUAAAGGGUGCGCAGGCGGUUGAGUAAGGCAGAUGUGAAAUCGCCGAGCUUAACUCGGGAAUGGCAUAGGAGACUGGUCGACUAGAGUGUGUCAGAGGGAGGUGGAAUUCCACGUGUAGCAGUGAAAUGCGUAGAUAUGUGGAAGAACACCGAUGGCGAAGGCAGCCUCCUGGGACAUAACUGACGCUCAGGCACGAAAGCGUGGGGAGCAAACAGGAUUAGAUACCCUGGUAGUC
rnacentral:rRNA from 1 species